rnacentral:misc_RNA from 1 species
GUGCUCUACAUCAAGGACAACCUCAAGAUCUCAUCAACACAAGUGGAGAUCUUGGUGGGUUGCCUAAAUGUAUGUUCACUUAUUGGAUCACUUGCAUCGGGUAGAACUUCUGACUACAUUGGCAGACGUUAUACCAUUGUUCUGGCUGCAGCCACGUUCCUUGUUGGUGCACUUUUAAUGGGACUGGCACCAUCUUUCAUAUUUCUAAUGGCUGGAAGGGUAGUUGCUGGCAUUGGUGUUGGCUACUCCCUAAUGAUCGCUCCAGUCUAUACUGCAGAGCUCUCCCCAGCCACGACUCGAGGCUUCCUAUCCUCCCUCCCUGAAGUCUUCAUUAAUAUUGGAAUUCUACUCGGUUAUGUCUCCAACUAUGCUCUAUCGAGUCUUCCUGGGAACAUGAACUGGAGACUAAUGCUAGGACUUGCAGCUUUGCCAGCUAUAAUUGUUGCUUUUUGUGUCCUGGUGAUGCCUGAGUCCCCUCGCUGGCUUGUCAUGAAAGGCCGGUUUGGUGAUGCAAAGCAAGUCUUGAUAAAAACUUCAGACUCAAAGGAGGAAGCAGAAUUGAGAUUAGCUGAAAUGAUAAAAGCUGCCAAGGACUUGACCCCAGGAGCUGCUUCAAGCAAUUGGCGUGGGCAGGGUGCUUGGAGAGAGUUAUUGUGUAGACCUUCUCGCCCCAUUCGCCGUAUUCUCAUUGCUGCAAUUGGAGUUAACUUCUUCAUGCAGGCUUCAGGUAAUGAUGCUGUUGUGUAUUACAGCCCUGAAGUGUUCAAAGACGCUGGAAUCCAGAGCAGGCGACAGCUUGUAGGGGUUACAGUGAUCAUGGGAAUAGCCAAAACAUUCUUUGUUUUGGUUUCAGCUCUUUUCUUGGACCGGUUUGGGAGGAGGCCCCUCUUGUUGUUGGGAUCAACUGGGAUGGCUGCUUCAUUGGCUGCCCUGGGUGUGGGCUCAAUGUAUCUCGAGCAGUCAGCUGACAAGCCCGUGUGGGCCAUUGCAUUGUGUAUAGUGGCAGUAUGUGCUGAUGUAUCCUUCUUUUCAAUUGGGCUUGGUCCAGUCACUUGGGUGUACUCGUCAGAGAUAUUUCCUAUGAGAUUAAGGGCCCAAGGUUCAAGCUUGGCAAUAUCAGUCAACAGGUUGGUUAGUGGGAUUGUUGCCAUGACAUUUCUAAGCAUUUCCAAGCUAAUCUCAUUUGGAGGAAUGUUCUUCUCACUAGCAGGAAUUAUGGUAGUGGGUACAGUUUUCUUUUAUUUCUUCUUGCCUGAAACUAAAGGCAAGACCUUGGAAGAGAUUGGGGUUCUCUUUGAAGAUAAAAUCUCUGAGAAUCAAAUACACUUUGUUUCUUAACUAAAAAAUGCAUGCAUUUUCAAUUCCUUUUGCCUUGCAAACUUGGAAAAUAAAAAGCCUAAAACUUGAGGGGACUUAUAUGAGUUGGAAUUUGAAUAAGCUGGUCAGGUCAGGAAUUGUUUUUGCCUUUGUAUGAAAUGAUAGGUAUGGGAGAUCAGUAAACUGUGGGAGAAUAGUCCAUUCUAUAAAUUGGAAUUCUCGUUUGCCAAUACCUUGAGCACAGCUUGUUUUGUGACUUGUGAGCGAGGAUCUAUGGUCCCAAAUCCCAAUAAACUAUUGCUUUUCCAUCCCCAUCUUGAAGCAUUAGCAUGUUAUCACCGAGCUACUUUUCACUUUUCAGUGAAUUCCGUUUGCAUGUCCAUGAUUUUUUAUUCAACUUUUCAGUGUCAGACAAAUACUUACACCUUUUAUAUUAAAAUUUUGUUGUCA